rnacentral:rRNA from 1 species
AAGGUCUUCGGAUCGUAAAGCUCUUUCGACCGGGACNAAACUGGCGAGGUGAACAGNCUCGUCCUUGACGGUACCGGGAGAAGAAGCACCGGCUAACUCUGUGCCAGCAGCCGCGGUAAUACAGAGGGUGCAAGCGUUGUUCGGAAUUAUUGGGCGUAAAGCGCGUGUAGGCGGUGGCGUAUGUCGGGUGUGAAAGCCCUCGGCUUAACCGAGGAAGUGCGCCCGAAACUACGUCGCUAGAGUGCCGGAGAGGGUGGCGGAAUUCCGGGUGUAGAGGUGAAAUUCGUAGAUAUCCGGAGGAACACCAGUGGCGAAGGCGGCCACCUGGGCGGACACUGACGCUGAGACGCGAAAGCGUGGGUAGCAAACAGGAUUAGAUACCCUGGUAGUCCACGCCGUAAACGAUGGGAACUAGGUGUGGCGGGAGUUGACCCCUGCCGUGCCGCAGCUAACGCAUUAAGUUCC